rnacentral:tRNA from 1 species
GUUCAUGUAGCUCAGCAGGAUAGAGCGCCCGCCUCCUAAGCGGUAGGUCGCCGGUUCAACUCCGGCCAUGGACA